AUGAAUGAUCUAUGUAUAACAUUCCAAAUUGAAAAUUUGGGAUGUUACAAACCUACCCCCCUUAAGAUGAAUCUUGCCCUCGAGAUUCGGGUUGGCUAGAAAAUAGGUGUGGGUGGUCUUUGCGAAGAUCAUCCUCUCGUUCCCAGGUGGCUUCAUCUACGGUAUGGUGGCUCCACUAAACUUUGCAAAACUUGAUAACCUUGCUGCGAGUGACUCGACUGGCAAACUCAAGAAUCUUGACUGGCUUCUCCUCAUAAGUCAAAUCACCGUCCAACUGAAUCGCCUCCAAGGGUACUGUAUGUCUUAACGGUAUAUCGGCCAUCUCAGCAUGACACUUCUUCAACUGUGAAACGUGGAACACAUCAUGAACUCCUGACAGUCCUUCAGGUAACUCCAACUUGUAGGCAACUUCUCCCAUACGUUCCAAAACACGAUACGGUCCUACAAAUCUCGGGGCUAACUUUCCCUUAAAUCCAAAACGUUUCACUCCGUGCAAGGGUGAUACUCGCGUAUAUGCUCUAUCUCCAAUCUCAUAAGUUACCUCCUUGCAUUUCGAGUCUGCAUAACUCUUCUGCCUGGACUGAGCUAUCUUCAGUCUAUCUCGAAUCAGCUUAACUUUCUCUUCAGACUCCUUGAUCAAAUCUGGUCCACACAACUGUCGGUCUCCAACUUCAUACCACAUCAACGGUGUCCUGCACCUUCAUCCAUACAGGGCUUCGAACGGAGCCAUCUUCAAACUAGCUUGGUAACUAUUGUUGUAUGAGAACUCCACGUAAGGCAAAUUGUCGUCCCAACUAGAUCCAUAAUCUAGCGCACAGGCUCUCAACAUGUCCUCCAGAAUCUGGUUGACUCUCUCGGUCUGUCCAUCUGUCUGCGGGUGAAAUGUUGUACUGAACUCCAAUCUUGUUCCCAAAGUCUGGUGCAACUGAUGCCAAAACUUUGAGGUAAACUGUGUUCCUCUAUCGGAUACGAUGGUUCUCGGAACUCCAUGCAGACAUACGAUCCUGGACAUAUAUAUCUUCGCCAACUUCGCACUUGUAUAAGUUGUCUUCACUGGGAUAAAGUGAGCCACUUUAUUCAAGCGAUCAACUACUACCCAUAUAGAAUCAUAUCCUAAUUUGGUCCUAGCCAAUCCGGUGAUAAAAUCCAUGCCAAGUUUAUCCCACUUCCAUUCGGGUAUCGACAUAGGCUGUAACAACCCUGCUGGCUUUUGAUGCUCUGCCUUCACUCUCUGACAUAGAUCACAUACGGCUACAUACUCAGCGAUAUCCUUCUUCAUCCCUGUCCACCAGAAACGUUCCUUCAAAUCCAAAUACAUCUUGGUGUUUCCGGGGUGUAUCGAGUAUGUUGAGUCAUGAGCCUCCUGAAGUAUUAACUUCCUGAUCUCUGUGUUAUUGGGCACAUAACUCGGUCCUCAAACCAUAAGGUGCCGUGCUCAUCCUCACGAAAACCAUUGGCCUUUCCUUUGCUCAUUCCCUCUUUUAUCUCGGCAAUCUCUUUUUCAUCCUUCUGAGCUUCUCGAAUCUUUCCUAACAAUGUAGACUGAACCUCCAUUGUUGCAACAAAACAUCUAGGAACAAUCUCCAAUUGAAGUUCCCUGAGAUCCUCUGCUAACUCCUUUGGCAAUCCCGUACUCUAUAGGAUAUUAGCAUAACUCUUCCAGCUCAAAGUGUCUGCUACAACAUUGGCCUUUCGUGGGUGAUAGUGCAGCUUCAUGUCAUAAUCCUUUAUAAGCUCCAACCAUCUCCUCUGCCAAAUGUCAGCUCCUUCUGUGUGAAAAUGUACUUCAAACUCUUAUGAUCCGUGUACACAUCACAAUGGUUUCCAAUAAGGUAAUGUCUCCAAGUCUUCAACGCAUGCACCACGGCUGCUAGCUCCAAAUCAUGGGUGGCAUAAUUCAACUCGUGAGGUUUCAGUUGUUGUGAGGCAUACGAGACAACUAUUCCGUCCUGCAUAAGCACACUUCCAAGUCCUAGGCGAGAGUCAUCGUAAUACACUUGGAAAUCAUUACGUAUAUCUGGCAGUGUCAUCACUGGGGCUAUAGUCAAACGUUUCUUUAACUCCUGGAAACAUGCCUCACAAUCUUCCAUCCAUUUAAACUUGGUAUCCUUCUUCAAUAACUCCGUCAUUGGCUUCGCAAUCUUCAAUAACUCCAAGUUCAGCAAAUGCGAGUCCAAGAAAACUGCGGAUCUCGCUACCUGAAGUGGGUGCCAACCAUUCAGUGACUGACUGGACCUUGGUAGGGUCUACUGCUAUACCUUCUCCUGAUAUAACAUGUCCAAGGAAUCCGACUUCCUUCAACCAAAACUCGCAUUUGCUGAACUUGGCAUACAAAUGGUGUUCCCUGAGUUUCUCGAGAACUAAACGCAAAUGCUCCUUGUGCUCCUCUUCAUUCUUCGAGUCUACCAUUAUUGGAUCAAUAAACACCACAACAAACUUGUCCAAAUACUCCAUGAACACCUUGUUCAUCAUGCUCAUGAAAUAGGAGGGGCGUUAGUCAGUCCAAACGACAUGACCGUAUAUUCAUACAAUCCGUACCAUGCGGUGAAUGUUGUCUUUGGUAUAUCCUUCUCGCAAAUCUUCAACUGGUGGUAUUAUGAUCGCAAAUCGAUCUUCGAAAACACCUUAGCUUCUUGCAGCUGGUCAAACAAAUCAUUCAUCAUCGGUAGUGGGUACUUGUUCUUGAUCGUCACUUCAUUCAAGGCCCGAUAAUCAACAACCAUUUUUAGAGACUUAUCCUUCUUCUCAACCAAAAGCACUGGGGCUCCCCAUGGUGAUGAACUCCGUCGAAUGUAUCCUUUCUGCAAUAACUCCUUGAUAUGUUUCUUAAUCUCCUCCAGAUCAUUCACGAGCAUCUGAUAGGGUCUCUUGGAUAUUGGCCCUGUACCUGGCAAUAGCUCUAUCAAAAACUCGAUGUCUCGAUGUAGUGGCAUGCCUGGUAACUGCUCUGGGAAAACAUCCGGGUAAUCCUUUACUAUAGGCACUUCCUCCUGAACAACUCCUGUGAGGGUAUUCACUUGACUACUCCUUGGCGCAUGCCUAGAUAUAUACUUGAUCAUUUUUCUCUCCGGGGUGGUGAGACAAAUUGACUUACUAACACAGUCAAUGCUUCCUCCAUACUUUGACAUCCAGUACAUUCCUAAUAUCACAUCCAAUCCUUGUGACUCCAAGAUAAUUAGGUCAGACGGAAAAACAUGGUUGCCAAUGGUUAAGCGUAUCUGGUCGCACCAUCGACUAGCCAUAUACUCUGCUCCAGGUGAACUCACUAACAGGGGAUCCUAAGGGUUCGGGUUGGUAGUCUAAACAAAUCCAUGAAUCCCCUUGAUAUAUAUGAAUGUGAUGCACGAGUAUCAAAAAGAACAAGAGCGGUAAAUGACUUGAUAAAAAACUUACCUAUAACCCCGUCUGGCUGCUCUUCAACAUCCUCCACGUUAACAUGGUUCAUUUGUCCUUUGUUGAAUGAAUUGGGCUUCUUCCCAGCACUCCCAUUUCUGUUUCCAUUCUUCCCUUCAGGGCACUCCGUGGCAUAGUGUCUAGUCUUCCCGCACUUAUAGCAAGUAAUGUGACUUAGAUCUCUUUUGGCGGGUGUCGCUGGAUUAGGGCAGUUCUGAUUGUUGUUUGUCCCGUUCCCAUUUCCAUUCUAAGGACCAGUGUGGUUAUGUAAACCUCCUCCGAUGUGGUUAUGACCUCCAUGGUUAUGAACAAGUCCUCCCAAGUUCGGGAUUAGGCGAGGCUUCUGCUGAGCUCCUGAGUUAUACCUCCCUUGCCCAUACUUCCUCUUACGACUCUCAAUCUGCUGCUGCUUCCCUUCAAUCAUAAGAGCCUUAUCUACCAACUCCUGGUAGUUGUUGAAGGUUGCUACCAUCAACUGCAUGCUCAUCUCAUCAUUCAGCCCUUCCAUAAACUUCUCCUGCUUCGCGGCAUCUGUGGCCACAUCAUCAGGGGCAUAGCGUGAUAACUUGCUAAACUCAUCUAUGUAUUGAGCCACAGUAUGGUUCCCCUGGCGUAAGUUGCAAAACUCACGCUUCUUCAUACUCAUAGCUCCAGUUGGGACAUGGGCUGUACGGAAAGCUUGCUGAAACUGAUCCCAUGUCACCGUGGCUAUAGGGUAAGUGGCAGUGUAAUUCUCCCACCAUGAGGCUGCUGGUCCAUCCAACUGAUUUGCGACAAAACACACCUUCUCAGCAUUGGUACAUUCUGAAGGGGUUAACUCCCUUCCAAUCCUGCGGAGCCAAUCAUCUGCUACUAUGGGCUCGGUGCUACUGGAAAACACCGGCGGUUGCAACCUCAGAAAACGGGCUAAGUUAUCAACUGGUGGUGGUGGUGGUGGAUUGUUGUUGUUGUGGUGCCUUGGUUCUGGACUAAUAACUACAUCAGGGUAUUCUGCUGCUGGAUCAACUGAGUGAGCUCUGGUGGGAAGGUAAAUCCGGGGUCAUGUCUCGGAGGCUUCUGAUGGGUUUAGAGGGAAGAGAUCAGAAUAGAGAAAAGGGGUCUAAUGAGAAAGCACUACCCAUAUGCACAUGAGACAAACACAAUCAUUUCACUCAAUCAAUCAAGCAAGGGCAUACAAUCGAUCUAACUAUCAUUAUAAAAGUGCUCAGACUAUACUAUAUAUAUGGUGGAAUACUACUACUAAUGUGGGGGUCUACUAAAAAUAUUGAUCGGUCGAAGAUUCCAUGAUGUCUGCUCCAGCUUCGUCUUCAUAGUCAUCAUCGCUAUUGUCGGGGUCUGAGUCGAUGUCGUCGAUGAUGAUGUAGUCCUCCAGACGAAUCUCCUUGGGUUAUUUGUCUUCUUCUCCUGGAGCGGGGUCUCCCAUGAAUACUCCUAGCUUCCUUUCCAGAUCAUCAUUCUUCUCCACUAGUAUGACGAUUUCUUCCUCAUAAUCUUCACGAGUAGCCUUGAGUUCUUCCUCCAGUUCCGUGAUCCUGGUCAUCGCCUUCUUCAGAUCUAUCAUGCCUACGCACAUCUGGUUCUCCUUGUGACGAAUGUGCUGGUUUAACUCCUGGAUGAAAGCUGCAAUUGAUCUAUCUUUCCUGGUGUUGAUCAUCUCCCAUUGCUCAUCUCGGCGCCCACAAAUCUGGUAGAUAGUAUCCUUAAGCUCCUUUUGGUAAACUUCUCCAAUGCAUCCCAUGGUGAUGUGAGCUGCCAUACUCUUUCCUAGACUCCAGGUUGGUGCAUCAAAGGAAAACUCUAUGGGCUUAGUGACUGGCAUGAAUGUUCUUCCUGGAACUUGAACUUGAAUCAUCCAUCGCUCCUCUUCUGGUAAAGUGGCAUUGUAAGUCCCAGUGAAGCUUGGUAUUCCUAUGUUCAGGUACCUAGUGACUUCCUUCAAGUGUCGUCCAAAAGGUGCGUCUUCAUCCAGUUGUGCAAACUUGUUCCUUGCGUCCGCCAUCCUAAAGAGUGUAAAAUGGAGAGGAGUCAGAAAUGAGAAGAGAAUAGUGAUCUAGGGUUUUAGCUUAGUGGUUGUGUCCUACACUCAGCAUGUGCUCUGAUACCAUCUUGUAGCGACCGAACCUCAAACGGUCAAGUCUCUGUGCUUCCGUGUCAUCCCUGGAUCUGUAAUGCUGACACACACAAUACUCGAAGGAUUUAUAACAGAGUAGCAAUCACACACUUAUUACAUCGAAUGUCUCAAAAGAGAUCUUAUUACAAUAAAUAUGGCUUAAGUCCAUCUAAUACGAUAACAACGGAAGGCUUGGAAGAUAAAGUGAGUCUAUCAACUCCAACGGCAUAGCUAAGCUGCACGUCAACGACCUAAUGAACCUUACUCCUCGUCUGAAAAGUCUGCAACAUAAUACGUUGCAGCCCGAAAAUGGGUCAGCACAUGGAAUAUGCUGGCAAUAUAACACAGUAGAGCAAGAACAGAAUAAUGCUAUCACUACAUGCAUAUUUGGCUGGUGGAAAGCUCUAUGGUUAUAGUUUUUGCGAAAAGCCAAUUUUUUCCUACAACAAAGGAAUAGAUUUUAUUUUAACUAUCAUGGUAGUUGAAGCAUCAUUGAGAAGGUUCCUCCAACUCAAUCCCAAUUAAAGUAAAUAACAACCCUACAAUAUUUGUUUAGAGAGUGAUGAGAUACUUAAGAUACUCCAAGUACUGGAUACUCAAAAUUGUCCGUGACCGGGGACAUGAUUAACCAUGAUUAGAUUGUACACUCUGCAGUGGUUUGCACACUUUUACCCACAAUACUCGAUCGCCUCCGUUGAAUUUCUUGCACUACAUGGUGUUUGAGAAACGGAUGACCGAGACACAGUCUUUCAGAAACAUUAACUCUCUACUCCGGGCAGACCAUACCAAACCUACAACCCACUACUUGCUGAUCUACGUCUUCGAGCGCUUCACAUAAGUUACUCAACUAUGCUAGAGGCCACAAUAGCUUGUGGUUGCACACGGAAGUUUCUAGGAUGAAUCAUCUCAGUUUCCUUUGAGCCUGGGUGGCGGUCCAUAGGAAGAUCACAUAGAACCCCAGGACUUCCAAAAAUACAGGCAACACUGGAUUCUCCAGGUGCCUCAAUCCACCCAGACGUGUAUUGAAGUUGCCACCUUAAGUUGAACCAUUAAUUAACAAUCUCACAUCUGUCAUGGAUUUCACUCACCCAAACCACGUCUACGAGCAUAGCAUAGCAAUAUAAGCAAUACGUAGAAGUAACUCCCAAAGGUUCAAAUGUAAGAGGGCAAUUGGUUCUACCUCAUCAACUACUUCCCAACCCACAUGUUACUGACAUCCUAAUCAUGCAGUGUUUGAGGAUUGAAACUAAUGCAUAAAAACUGGGUAUGGAGAGAGUAUGAUCAAUGUGUUACUUGCCUUACUGACGACCCGUGAAACCUAGGGACUCGUAGUAGCACACUUCGCACUCCGGGAAUUCUAUCACAAACAAACAAUAGCUUACAUAAGCAAUCAAGCAAAGAUGCACGGGAAAAACUCAAAUAAGAAGAAUUUACCAGAAAGAUCAACUUAAGAACUCCAGUUAGCGAAAAGAAUCAAAUCGAACGGAGCAACGAAACUGAAACGGCGAAAGAAACAAGAUCCGUUUACUAAUCUCAAGGCGAAGAUCUAGGCGCUUGAAUCGCCUGAUUCCGAUAAACGAGCGAAAAGAUAAACUGAAACGAAAAUCGGAUCAGAAAUCGCGAUUGGAAAUAAUCACGGAGAAAUCCGAUAAAAAGAAAACUGAUGAACAACCUAACGAACGAACAUUCAUUGUCUGUAGCUAUCAAGUGAAAACCGUUCGUUAAAACAAACGUACGGACGAACGUCCGCUAAAUAGAAGAACCGGGAAAACCGGCGAACCGAUCUAAAAAAAUGAACUAGGGUUUUUCUAAAAAAACCGAAUUGGUUUUCUUAAAAAAACCGGUGACGACAAACAAGGCGUUACCUCUCCGGCGAGGCGGCGGGCUUGCGGGACGGUGGGGCGAGGCGGCGCGACGCGGCGAGGGGCGNNNNNNNNNNNNNNNNNNNNNNNNNNNNNNNNNNNNNNNNNNNNNNNNNNNNNNNNNNNNNNNNNNNNNNNNNNNNNNNNNNNNNNNNNNNNNNNNNNNNNNNNNNNNNNNNNNNNNNNNNNNNNNNNNNNNNNNNNNNNNNNNNNNNNNNNNNNNNNNNNNNNNNNNNNNNNNNNNNNNNNNNNNNNNNNNNNNNNNNNNNNNNNNNNNNNNNNNNNNNNNNNNNNNNNNNNNNNNNNNNNNNNNNNNNNNNNNNNNNNNNNNNNNNNNNNNNNNNNNNNNNNNNNNNNNNNNNNNNNNNNNNNNNNNNNNNNNNNNNNNNNNNNNNNNNNNNNNNNNNNNNNNNNNNNNNNNNNNNNNNNNNNNNNNNNNNNNNNNNNNNNNNNNNNNNNNNNNNNNNNNNNNNNNNNNNNNNNNNNNNNNNNNNNNNNNNNNNNNNNNNNNNNNNNNNNNNNNNNNNNNNNNNNNNNNNNNNNNNNNNNNNNNNNNNNNNGGCGACGCGGCUCUGCUUGGGAGGCGGGGCUGCGGGCAGCAGGGUUUGGUAGUGGUGGCGUGGGGAGGGGGGUUCGGGGUAUUUAAGGAGGGGAGGGGGUGGCUUAGAGGAGGGGGCAAGGCGGUGGGGAGGAGGAGUCCGGCUCGGACUCCGGUCCGAGUCGGCGGCGGGGGCGCGCGGCCUCCUGGCGGGAGACGGCGGCGCGGGGAGGACGGGCCGGCUCGGCUAGGCCUUGGCCCAGUCGGUCGCUGGAAGUUUUUUUAAACAAUUCCCGCAAACAGAAAAUAAAUCCUAGAAAAGAAAAUUCUAAAAAUGCCAAAACAAAUUUUCACCGUCUAAAUAAAAUAUUUAGAACGAGAUGAACAUUUACUUGGCCCUAAAAUGCAAUUUUCAAAACGUGCAAUUUUUCUAGUGCAAAUAAAAUUGCAAUAAAAUCCAAAUAAAAUCGAAUAUUUGAUUUUAAUAUUUUUCCUCCAAUAUUUCAAUUUUUUUGGAGAAGUCAUAUUAUCUCCUCUCAUAUAUUUUAAUAUGAAAUAUUUUUAGAGAGAAAAAUGAUUAAAACCAAAAUCCUCGUUUCAAUACUUGAUAAAAAUCAAAUAUGAAAACCCGGAAAUCCCCAACUCUCUCCGAGGGUCCUUGAGUUGCUUAGGAUUUCGAUGAUUGCGAAACAAAAAUGCAAUAAAAUAUGAUAUGCAUGAAUGAUGUAUGUAUAACAUUCCAAAUUGAAAAUUUGGGAUGUUACAAUCGUGGCUGUGCGGGGCGGAGGCGACGGAGGUUCACGGUGGCGCUUGCUGGCGGCAGCGGCGCUAGGCGGCGGCGGGAGGUGAGGAGGCGGCGGCGCAGGGAUCCGGCGGGAUGCGGGCGUGGGGGCGGUGGCGGGCCGAGCGUGGGCCUUGCAGGCUGCAGCGGCGGAGGGCGGUGCAGGGAUAGGUGUCAGGCACUGGUUGGUCGGGCGCGGCGGCGCGGAGUUGUCUGGCGGGCGAAAGGAGUGGGGCUAGGGUUUCAGGACCCGUGAUUUGAGGGGGAGACACAUAUUUAUAGGUAGGGGGAGCUAGGAGAGUCCAAAUGAGGUGUGGUUUUCGCCCACAUGAUCGUGAUCCAACGACGGAGAGCAUGGAGGGGGUUUAGAUGGGUUGGUGGGCUGUUUUGGAGGGGUGUUGGGCUGCAACAAAAGAGGGGAUUUUGCGGUUACCCGGUUAACCAUUUGGGCAUCAAAUGACCCGGUGAUGUACCAAGGCUACUCGACAAAUCUCGACCCAUACCGAGAACGUUUUGCUCCCGCUCAUGAAACGAGGUUAGAGGGUGCAACGGGGGCACGAGAGACCGUCGGAUUGCAAAACGGACAACGGGGAAAAGGACUGGAUGCAUGAGACGAACACGAAUGCAAAUGCGAUGCACAUGAUGACAUGAUAUGAACUGCAUGACAUGGACAGAAUGCGAAAUGAAAGGCAAAACCCAAUGGCGAAGGGAAUAUCAUAUUGCAUAGCUGGAAAUGGCAAGAGUUGGAGUUACAAAUAUGGAAAGUUACAUCCGGGGUGUUACAGAGGGGCACACGGCAAACCAUGUCCAAACGCCAUGCCAGCCGAGCGGUAGCUAAUCCGGCUCUGGAAUCGUCAACCAGGACGACAGCAGAUGCGGAAGCAAUGCUAGAUCAACCUCCUCAUGAGGAUUCAGAUGAUGUAUCCAUCACGAAUUCCAAGGUGGAGAGUGUGAUGAAUCAUCGAUGACUGAAAGAGGCUAUGCGCGCUCCAGCUUUUUCUAAGCUGAAAUUUACUGGCCUCAGCUCCGUGGAUGCAUAUAUCUGAGCCGCCCGGGAUGGACUUGCUGGAGUUACUCAACUAUUUUCAAAGGAUAUGCAGUCAAUAGUUUGUGCAAAUUUAAUAGAUAUACGCCAGUAGCACCCGAGACUUGAAGCAGUUAGGUCGGCCGUUUUAAGGAUCGUUAUGACUGCACGCUGUGAGAGAGAAGAACAACGCGUUGUCCUAGGUGCUGAAAACGAGCCAGACAAAGCUGAAUGCCGCCACCACAGAGCUCGAAGAAAUGAAAAAGCCACAAUGACCAUCGAUCAAAAGAACAAACUCGAGGAGGAAAAGGAUAAACAAGCUGAAGAGAUAAAGAGCUUAAAGGCUCAGUUAUUUGACGCGUAAGAAGAGAAUAAGAAGUUGAAAGGCGGCAUAUUCGAUAUGACCUUUUGAACCAUCCAGGGGAUUCAUAGCAUCCCCUAAUUCGGAUAGUUACAAUGCUUUUGUUGCAGGUCUGUUAACGGGCGUCCUAAAGAAGAAGUAUCCGGAUUUCAAGGCGACGUGCUAAAAGAGCUGUCCAUGGUGCAUGAGCGGGGCCGGGAAGCUACAAGAAGUAUGGCUAAAGCUUUAUGGCCACCUGAUGCCCCUCCAAAAAGUAUGGAGGGGUUGGCAAACCUGUUUAAAGGUGCCCGAUGCCGUUUUGAGUUAUGGAAGGUGUCAGCAUGCUGGGACGAUGCACGAGAGGCAUGGGCGAUGGUGAAAACGUGCUACACCGGGCUCAAUCCGAAUCAUAUGGCCCGAGUUGGACCUCAGGGCCCGGACGGGAAAUAGAUUCCCGUGAGUUUGGUAUAUGACCAAGUAAAGAUAGCUGUGAAAUACUCGCAAGAAGACUGUAGCUUAGACAGUCUUAUAGAUGGACAUAGAUAAAGAGUACUCAUUCGAUUCAAUGUAUCAAUGUACUUUACCAUCGAACUUAUCUCCCACCGAACAUGUCAAAAUUUGUCAUCGUAGGCCUUUGGCUUCAACCUCCGAACCAAGAAGUUGGAGUGUUUCUGGAUACCAGGUUGGAAUGUAAUAAACAUUCAUUAUGUCCGGAAACAAGGAAAUCCGGUCAUAUUGCUCAAACAGACAAAAUUUGUUCGGAGAGUUAUGUUAUAUUACUAUUUAACGUAAGAAACAACUUCCAGGGAAAAUAGUUCCAUUAAGGGUUCCUUUCCUUGGGUCGGCAUGCUUAAUUAUGCAUGCCUAGGCUUUGAUCUGAAUUACGGGGAGCCUAUCCCGUAUUUGUUAUAAGAAUUACAUAAACAUAGACAAUAUGUCGGUGCUUGCCGCCCAAUUAUUCUCUUAAGAAUGCUAGCUUUCGGGUUCACCCAUCUGAGGUACAUUUCCGGAUUACCCGGUUGUAAUAAUCGCUGAGGUGCUCCAUUUACACCCUAGCCAAACAAUCGGGAAUGUAAGGUAUAAACACAGGAGCAAGGCAACCCGGCUUGGUAAAAACUUAAGUCAUAGAGGUGCAUUUAAUGGCAAAAGAUGUAUAGAGCAAAUGACAUAAACCAUAAAAGCGACAAGCCUUUGGUGAGAUGCUUACCUCUAACCGUUCGGUAGUUCCGAACAUACCCUGGGAUAAAAAGGAAAAAUAAAAAGGAGAGGAGAAAAAGGAACCAAGUCAAAGAAAAAAUAAAAAGGAGUUUGACCGAACUAUCCAUAGAAUUGUCGGAGUCGAGCAACAUUCCAUGGAUUCGGCUCAAGGCGAUUAUCCGAUGCAUUACGAAGGUGAUAGGCUCCUCCUGUGAGAACUUCAUCUAUGAUGAAGGGGCCUUCCCAUUUUGGUUUAAGCUUAUCCUUCUUCUUCUCAGGGAGACACAAGACGAGCUCGCCGACGUUAUAUGUCUUGGCCCGCACUUCUCUGCUUUGGUAUCUCCUGGCCUGUUGUUGGUAAAAUGCGGAUCGGGCUUGUGCAAUAUCACACUCCACUUCAAUGGCGUCUAGGUCGUCCUACCGAUCGAGCUCGGCUUCUCGCUCUUCAUACAUGUGCACUCAAGGUGAGUCAUGAAUAAUGUCGCAGGGCAAGAUAGCUUAUGCGCCGUACACCAUCACUACAAGAAAUAUGUCAACUUAUGACCUUCUCUUAGUGACCCUAGUUGAAUUGGUCGUAAAUUUACAGCCAUUUCGCUUGGAACGGCUCAAACCCUGAAAUUGCUUACACCAAAUGGUCACAAAGCAGACAAGAGGCACCAACGACCUUAUUUCUACCUGAUUACGACCAAUAUAAAUGGUCAUGAGGUUGUGAACGUGGAUGCAUUGGUACUUAUUGCUAUGACAAGGCGCCACCUCAUUAGUUUUGCCUAUGUUUCAUGUCCGUGUGUUAAUUUUUUCCCUAGGUUGUGAAGCAACCUAUAUUCAUUCCCAAAAUUCCCAAAAAAAUUGGGCAUUCUUUACUAUCCAAAUCAUUGCCUCAUGACAAUAUUCAACUCCAUUUGACUGGUAAAUCUUCCUCGGCAAAUUUCCAAAGUUUUUGUUCAGCUCAAACUGUUGUGAAGGAAGUACUGGCUAGGCAUAUCCUAAUGAGCUGAAUUUUUUCCACAUCUUCUAUAUUCCCAAAUCAUAGCCCUCCACAAAAUUGAACCCCAUCUAACAAUACAUGUGAGUGUGGCUUCAACAUUCAUAUUUCUAUCCAGUGCGGUACGUUGCAAAGCAAGUGACACCUAGGCUCCUACAUUUGAGCUGCAAAUUUUUCAAGAUAGUGUCCUUAUUAGAUGAUCAUCCUCGGCCAAAACUUAGGCCCAUUGGCCAUGUGCAUUUCCCGUACCACUAAUCAAACACUUGGGGUGCUAAUUCAUGUUUGAGCUCGGUUCAGUCUCCUCGUGAGAUUCUUCUAUUGCCUUCUUCUUCCUGACACCUAUCAAGGGAGUGCCCAACCCACUAGACAUGCCUAGGCCGCCCGGAACGCGAGGCAACACCACGGUCACGCGGCGACCACGCGGCGGGCAUGCGAGUCUGCGCGCUUUGGAGUUGGGGCCCUGGGCCACCAUCCAAACCUCAACGUAUCGCCACCAAACCAUGUAUUUCUGAUUAAAUAGAUACGUUUCUACCUAGAAAUGAUUUUUUGAAAAAAUAAAGAGCAAACUAUGAGGCAGCUGCAGUUCAAAUUUGUCUCGCUUCCUGCUGAAUCAGCAAAAAAUUGUCUUUUUCACCAGAGGUGGAUAAAAACUUUUGGCACCCAACCAUUUUGUCAAUUGUGCUUUAAACAUGGCCUAGUAUUUUAUAAAAUUGAUUUGGUCCAAUUUUCUAACAAAUAUAUGGUAGGUCCUUCACAAAAAAACUCAUUUUGGGCACUCGAACAAUGGAAAAUUUUCGUCCAAAGAAAAUGAAAACUUCCUUAGGCAACAUUGUUUGCCAUUCCAAUAUGCACCCUUGUGCACAAUAUGAGAUCAUUUGAACAUACUAUGCCAUGAAUGUGGCCAUAAGAUUGAUCAUUUGGCUUGAAAGCCAUGAAUCUUGAGAGAUGAUAGCUCAUUUCUGAGAACACUUUUUUAAAAUAAUUGCCGUAUUACAAGUUUGUUAUUUUUCCUGGGAACUGGGCCACAUAUAAUGACACAAUGCGAAGGUUUCCCAAUUUUUUGAAUUUUUUUGAAUUUUUUAUGCCCGUUUCAAAAUGCGGUCAAAACGGCGGGAAUGACCGUUCCUAGCUAGUGGUUGAAUCUUGGAAUUUUUUUGGUGUUUCUCUGAUUAAAUAGAUACUUAUGUACCUAGAAAUGAUUUUUGAAAAAAAUAAAUAGCAAACUAUGAGGCAGCUGCAGUUCAAAUUUGACCCGCUUCCAACUGAAUCGGCGGAAAUUUGUCUUUUUCACGAGAGGUGGAUCAAAACUUUUUACACCCAACCAUUUGGUCAAUUGUGCAUUAAAUAUGUCCUAGUAUUUUAUAAAAUUGAUUUGGUCCAAUUUUGCAACAAUUAUGUGGGAGGUCCUUCACAAAAAAACCUCAUUUUGGGCACUCGAAAAAUGGAAAAUGGUUUUUUUCAUCCAAAGAAAAUAAAAAAUUCCUUAGGCAACAUUGUUUCCAUUCCAAUAUGCACCCUUGUGCACAAUAUGAUAUCAUUUGAACGAACUAUGCCAUGAAUGUGGCCAUAAGAUUGAUCAUUUGGCUUGAAAGCCAUGAAUCUUCAUGCAUGAUAGCUCAUUUCUGAGAACACUUUUUUAAAAUAAUUUCCAUAUUACAACUUUAUUAUUUUUCUUGGUAACUUGGUCACAUAUAAUGACACAAUGCGAAGGUUUUCCAUUUUUUUUGAUUUUUUUUUGAAUUUGUUAUGCCCAUUUCAAAAUGCGGUCAAAACGGCGGGCUUGACCGUUCCUAGCUAGUGAUUAAAUCUUGGAAAACUUGUGAUGUUUCUCUUAUUAAAUAGAUACUUUUGUACCUAAUUUUUUUUUGGGAAAAAUAAAUAGCAAACUAUGAGGCAGCUGCAGUUCAAAUUUGACCCGCUUCCAACUAAUUUGCCAGAAAUUUGUCUUUUUCACGAGAGGUGGAUAAAAGCUUCUGACACCCAACCAUUUAGUCAAUUAUGCAUUAAAUAUCGCCUAGUAUUUUAGAAAAUUGAUUUGGUCCAAUUUUGCAACACUUAUUUGGUAGGUCCUUCACAAAAAAAACUCAUUUUGGGCACUCAGAAAAUGGAAAAUAAUUUUUUCGUCCAAACAAAAUGAAAAAUUCCUUAGGAAACAUUGUUUGCAAUUCCAAUAUGCACCCUUGUGCACAAUAUGAGAUCAUUUGAACAAACUAUACCAUGAAUGUGGCCAUAAGAUUGAUCAUUUGGCUUGAAAGCCAUUGAUCUCCACACAUGAUAGCUCAUUUCUGAGAACACUUUUUUAAAAUAAUAAUCAUAUUACUAGUUUAUUAUUUUUACUGGUAACUAGGCCACAUAUAAUGACACCAUGCGAAGGUUUUUCAUUUUUUUUUGAUUUUUUUGAAUUUUUUAUGCCCGUUUCAAAAUGCGGUCAAAACGGCGGGCUUGACCGUUCCUAGCUAGUGGUUGAAUCUUGGAAAACUUUUGGUGUUUCUAUGAUUAAAUAGAUACUUUUGUACCUAAAAAUGAUUUUUGGAAAAAAAAAUAUAGAACAAACUAUGAGGCAACUGCAGUUCAAAUCUGACCCGCUUCUAGCUGAAUCUGUAGAAAUUUGUCUUUUUCAUGAGAGGUGGACCAAAACUUUUGACACCCAACCAUUUGGUCAAUUGUGCAUUAAAUAUGGCCUAUUAUUUUAUAAAAAUGGUGCGGUCCAAUUUUGCAACAAAUAUAUGGUAGGUCCUUCACAGAAAAACUCAUUUUGGCCAUUCAAAAAAUGAAAAAUGGUUUUUUUGUCAAAAGGAAAUGAAAAUUUUCUGAGGCAACAUUGUUUGCCAUUCCAAAAUUCACCCUUGUGCACAAUAUGUGAUCAUUUGAAACAAAAGAUUUGGUAGGUUCUUCAAAGUAAAACCAUGUCGGGCACUUGAAAAAUAGAAAAUGGCUUUUUUGCAGUGAAAAUGAAAACUCCCCAGAUCAACACCAUUUGUCAUCCCAAGAUACACACAUGUGCACAAUAUUCAUUCAUUUUAACAAACUAUUAUUGGUUAAUAUGUUGAAUGUUUGCCCUAAGUAAGAGGGUAAAUAACCAUAAGAGAAACAAAAGGGAAAAACAAAAUUACAUAAGCUUAAUUUUGAUUGGUGGAAUCCAUUGUGGCAUGGAUCGAUGACAUGGCAAACAUCCGUCCGUCCAUCCAUCCAUCUGUCCAUCCAACCCACCACAGCAAACCCCACUCUCUCUCUCUCGCGCACGUACCCCACCUAACCCCUCUUUCCCUCCUCUCUCUCUCUCUCGGGAACCCUAGCGCUCCACUCCUCCCUUGCCGCCGCCACCUCCGGCGGUAAUCGAAGACCAUAUCCGGUGAGAUCUGGCGCGCGCAGCGAGAUCCAUCUCUCUCUCACACACGAGAAGGAAAAUCCCCCGCCCCAUUCCCACGACUCAUCUGCCUCUCCCUCGAUCCCCUUCCUUCCCGAGGACGCACGCGCCGCCGCCUCCCCGAUCCCCUUCUCCCCUCGCCACCCCACAUCACCCCGCCAUCCACCUCGUCGCCUCCCUGAUUCAUCCUCCUCCUCCUCCUAUUCCCCUCAUCAGAUCCAUCCAUCCAUUCAUUUUUCCAUCAGAUCCACCUGACGCCAUCGCAUCCCCUUCUCGCUCGCAGGGUUGCAGGCGAUUCAAUCUGGUCCGGGUCCAUGGCGUCCAAGGCCGUGGCGGCGCUACUGGUGACGGACGAGCUGGCCCUGCCGCUCCGUGCGGUGGGGGACGGCAGCGGGGAAGCACGCAGCUGCGCAGCGACCGCGUGAGGUUUCAGUGAGCGGCCGCAUUGCUACGGCAGGAGGACCAACGCGCGCUUCCGGCGACGAGGCUCCAUCGCGCGAACCAAGACACGGACUCGACAGGAUGGCUCUGCGGGACUCCAGUGUCAGAAGCAGCGGUUGGGGCUACGCGGUGACCCCAGGACGCCGCUGCCCGAUUCCGGCGCGAAGGCUACCUCGCGCAAAUCAUGGCGGCCUUGACCAAGGAGGGGUCCGUGCCGCGCGGCGACCGGUGGUGAGCGUCGGUGCUGGCGAGUUUGGGUCAGUACGUCGCGACGGCGGCGAGCCUGCUCGGCGGCCCAUGAUUGGACCUUGGAGCCGCGCGAAGAGAAGGGGAUCCACUCCAAACCCAGGAUAGGUAAAUUUCGAUUUAGUAGUGGAACCAGUAAAUUCAGUAUUGUGUUGCAUAGCUGAAUAUAUCUUCAGAGUUCAGACUAUGAACACUUAUCUUCAGAGUUCAGAGUUGAGAGUUAAAGCUAAAUGGCCACAGUGGUAUAGAUUGUUCUAGUCAAGCAUUUCUUUUUUAAGUUUGAUACUAGUGUUAUUGUUGGAGAUAUAUAGCGGAAAACAACAUCCAAAGUGGUAUAGAUUGUUCUUGUCCAUGAUAUGAUUAUUAUUGAAUUAGGUGGUCCUAGAGAAUGCUCCGCCUAAGCUUUGCUUAGUGGUUGGUUCCAUAUCCUGAAAAUUGCAAUGCAGGUGAAAAGAUUAAAUACCUCGUCAUGCUUGCAAUGGUUUAUGUUGAAUUAUUUUUUUGUAAUCUAUCUUGCUAUACCGGUUCCAAGUGCUUGAGUAGCACCUCUGAGAUAACUCACUUGUGGUUAAUUAGUGGCUGUCAAUGUUUUGUGCAUUCUUUUUUCCUAGGCAUCAUGCAUGGCCGUCUAGUAGUCGACAUACUUCUGGUUCCAUUUAGUGUAUGCAGGUAGCAGCAGCUUAAGUGUAAUGGAGUUGUUGUUACUCUAUGCCUGCUUCAUUAGAGUUUGCAUCAUCUCCUUGUUUAUGUAGAAUAAAUGCCUUCACUAUUCUUGUUUUGAACCUCUGAUCCCGAUACUGAUUGUAUUUCUCUUGAUCGAAUUACAGGCAACAUGGUGACUCUAGUGCUGACAUCUCCCGGUCGCGGCGCGUGUGAUCUGACUGUGUUGGGUUGGUGUCUAGUUGCAGGACAAGGUGGCGAACUCACUGUUUGAGAAGACGUCGAACCAGUUAGGCAUCGGCUGCGCGCUACCGCCCAAGAAGGACCUCCACCUGUUCGCCAGCGCCGCAUACUCAAGCAGCGCAUCCGUGCCCAGCCGCGGUUGUUUUUGCCCAUUUAUGUUGUUGCUUUAGUAGCAUUCUUUCCUUUCUUUUAUGUAGCAGCAGAGCACCACUCUUACUAUGCACUUCGCUCCAGAUUCUGCUACAAUUACAAAUUUAAAAUGCAUUCAUGCAUGAGCAGUGCAUGUGUUGGCUGUCCAUGAGAUCAUGAAUAGUAUGAGCCUUAGAGUCUUGUUCGAACUCAUUGAUGCAACAGAACUCAUUUGGAGAGCUACCUACUCAUUUGGAUGUAAUAUCAUGCUUGCUCUUUUGAAAUCGAUAAUGAUGCAUCAAAUGCUAUUCACAAG
rnacentral:lncRNA from 1 species